rnacentral:ribozyme from 1 species
UGUAGCAAUACCGCACUAAUACGGGUAUGUUCCGACACCUCUCGAAGGAUAAUAUAGGAUCUCCAUACCCUACUCCGACUCAAUACGUCCACGGCGUACAGAAUGGUACAAAGGUGUCAUAGGGGAUUUUAAUGCUCAGGGAUUUUAAUGCUCUUCGGACAGGA